rnacentral:rRNA from 1 species
GAUGAACGCUGGCGGCGUGCCUAAUACAUGCAAGUCGAGCGAACGGACGAGAAGCUUGCUUCUCUGAUGUUAGCGGCGGACGGGUGAGUAACACGUGGAUAACCUACCUAUAAGACUGGGAUAACUUCGGGAAACCGGAGCUAAUACCGGAUAAUAUUUUGAACCGCAUGGUUCAAAAGUGAAAGACGGUCUUGCUGUCACUUAUAGAUGGAUCCGCGCUGCAUUAGCUAGUUGGUAAGGUAACGGCUUACCAAGGCAACGAUGCAUAGCCGACCUGAGAGGGUGAUCGGCCACACUGGAACUGAGACAAGGUCCAGACUCCUACGGGAGGCAGCCGUAGGGAAUCUUCCGCAAUGGGCGAAAGCCUGACGGAGCAACGCCGCGUGAGUGAUGAAGGUCUUCGGAUCGUAAAACUCUGUUAUUAGGGAAGAACAUAUGUGUAAGUAACUGUGCACAUCUUGACGGUACCUAAUCAGAAAGCCACGGCUAACUACGUG